GUGGCCGUGACCGAGGUGGCGAAGUGUCUGUCUGUCGCGCUGUGUCAUUAAUGUUUAACACUAAGGGACUGGAUUCACCGGAGUCAUGUGAGAAACUGCACUUUACUGAACUGAAGAAAGACAACAUUCACAUCAGACAACGUGAGAGAUGGACAUGAAACAUCUAACGUGUUAGUUUAAAUGAAGACGGUUUGUUGUUUAAGGAGAUACACUUAGAACAAACUACACAGUAAGUCAUAAUGAUAUUAUGAUGAGGAGCAAUGUAUUGAAAUAUAAUUUUUCACACAAGGCUAUUACUAUUCACCCUGUGUGUUUUAAUUAAGGAGUAUACCAAGAAAACCCAUGUCAGAUACUUGAUUGGUUAAUUUAUUGAUCGGUUGAUUGCUUUAUUAUUUCUCUGUGGAAUAUAAAAACAUGUUACUCAACAUGGGUCCUCUGGGAAACAUUAUCCUUACUUUGUGUGUGUGUGUAGUGGUGGGGAUGGGGAGAAUUCCCGGGGCAUCUACUGAUUGGCUCACCACUCUGUAUGGGCGUGGUCAGUCAAACCCCUGGAAGCUACACCUCCAGGGUCAGAGUUCACAAAGUGAGGAGCCUCACACUGCCCUGCAUGAACAACACAUGCAAGUCCUGAACAGCAGUCUUCAUGCCAACCAGAAAGAUGUGGUUACUAUGCAACGAGAUGGUAGCCUGCGGAUCCACAUUGCCUCUCCUCACCACAGCAGCCUGUACUACUGCCUCCUACUGACCGGAGGACAAACUACACUCAUCCUACCAGCUUACUCCUAA
rnacentral:lncRNA from 1 species